rnacentral:rRNA from 1 species
CCUACGGGAGGCAGCAGUAGGGAAUCUUCCACAAUGGACGAAAGCCUGAUGGAGCAACGCCGCGUGGGUGAAGAAGGUCUUCGGAUCGUAAAACCCUGUUGUUAGAGAAGAGAGUGCGUGAGAGUAACUGUUCACGUUUCGACGGUAUCUAACCAGAAAGUCACGGCUAACUACGUGCCAGCAGCCGCGGUAAU